CUCUAAUGACUAGGAGAAGCCUAGAAUUAAAUUUACAUAUGUAUUUUUACUGCAGAAACAGAGUAAUCAAUAUUCAUGAAUAUGUUAAUAUACAGAAUGAAUUCCACAGGAUAAAAGUACAACAUGAUUUAAAAGCAAAGGAAUAGUUUUUACAGGGAAAAAGAGCGUGUAUAUUUUUGUAAAGAGUGUUGUAUAGGAUCACCAUGGAAAUUCGGAUUCACAGAAACGGUGACUCGUCAGUUUUAUUCAGUUACAAAAAUCAUAAAUAUCAAUGUCUGUGAGAGUAUCUGUUUAUCAAUUCAUGUCUAUGGAACAUAAACAUCUAAACGUCUGAAGUAGCCCCGUGGGACAUUCACACAGUACGCGGUGCAUCACUCAAGAGGCAUUAACCAAAGCCAGUCUUUCCGGGCUCGGCGGAGAGAGAGUUUCUUGUCUUCUCGGUCUCACAAUUCGGCAAGCAAGAGGAAAACUGUCACGGUAAGGACCUGAAAGGAAUCAAAGGGGACCAGAAGAGAGGACCCACACUAGACAAGCAGCAGGCAGAAAAUGCUCUGAUUUCCAUCAGCCUGCCACACAGGUCCGCAACACCGAGUGGGAGACGCCCACGUGACUCUGCCCACGUGACUGUGCGCUUGGCAGAGGUUAUGCAAAGCUUUACAGCAGUCUCUGCUCUUACCAGUUCCAAACCAGUUAAAGAUCCUUAUUUUGUUCUUACUUCAGAGAAAAACGACCUUUUAUAAUAAUAAUGAGGAUAUUUCAAAAAAAAUUAACGCAAAAAUGUUUUGUUGGGGCUGGAGAGAUGGCGCAGCGGUUAAGAGCACCCGACUGCUCUUCCAGAGGUCCUGAGUUCAAUUCCCAGCAACCACAUGGUGGCUCACAACCAUCUGUAAAGAGAUCCGAUGCCCUCUUCUGGUGUAUCUGAAGACAGCUACAGUGUACUUAUAUAUAAUAAAUGAAUAAAUAAAUCUUUAAAAAAAAAAAAAAGAAA